UACGAAGGGGGCUAGCGUUGCUCGGAAUCACUGGGCGUAAAGGGUGCGUAGGCGGGUUUUUAAGUCAGGGGGGAAAUCCUGGAGCUCAACUCCAGAACUGCCUUUGAUACUGAAGAUCUUGAGUCCGGGAGAGGUUAGUGGAACUGCGAGUGUAGAGGUGAAAUUCGUAGAUAUUCGCAAGAACACCAGUGGCGAAGGCGGCUAACUGGCCCGGUACUGACGCUGAGAUACGAAAGCGUGGGGAGCAAACAGG
rnacentral:rRNA from 1 species